AUCUGCAGCAACUGCAUGAUGCUUUCAUGUCAAUAUGGACUAAAAUCAGUUCUGAAAUCAAAAUGGGGUCCAACCCAGUACUAGUAAGGUGUACCUAAUAAAGUGGACGAAACGGUCAUCACUUACUACACUGGAGCACCUGACCUGACCUGGAUAAGCUGACAUCUCUGUCAUGGUAGCCUGAAGCAGAACCCCUUGCUGAAAACUUCACAAAUGCAAGAGACAGAGAAAGCAACCGUGCUUUGAGAGACCAGCGGGACCAUGAUCGGAGGGCAGUACAGCCGGAAGUGUAAGUCAUGUAACCUAUAGCUAGGGCUGCACAAUUAAUAAUAUUAUAUUCCAAUCACUGUUUUUGCCUCGGUUUAAUUAAGGGAAUACUCCACCCUGAAAUGAAAAAAAUAUCUUAUAAAUUACUUAUCGCCAUCCUAUACAGUGGCUGAGAGAGCUGCAACUUAAGAAAACGCAUGCAAAUAGAAAAAAAACACCAGCAAAUAAAAAACAACGUUAUCAGUUUGAUAACAUAUGUGCUGCAAACCCCCAC